UACGGAGGGAGCUAGCGUUGUUCGGAAUUACUGGGCGUAAAGGGCUCGUAGGCGGCCAACUAAGUCCGACGUGAAAUCCCAAGGCUUAACCUUGGAACUGCGUCGGAUACUGGAUGGCUUGAAUUCGGGAGAGGGAUGCAGAAUUCCAGGUGUAGCGGUGAAAUGCGUAGAUAUCGGGAGGAACACCAGUGGCGAAGGCGACUUCCUGGCCUGUUCUUGACGCUGAGGCGCGAAAGCUAGGGUAGCAAACGGG
rnacentral:rRNA from 1 species